GUAACCCCUGCAUCCAGUUGCCAUCGGGCGAGCCGGGCACUCUGGAGGGACUGCCGGCGACCAAGCCGGAGGAAGGUGGGGAGUGACGUCAAGUCAUCAUGGCCCUUAUGUCCAGGGCGACACACGUGCUACAAUGGCCGGCACAGCGGGAAGCGGAGGGGCGACCCUGAGCGGAUCCCUUGAAAGCCGGUCCCAGUUCGGAUUGCAGUCUGCAACUCGACUGCAUGAAGUUGGAAUCGCUAGUAAUCGCGGAUCAGCCAAGCCGCGGUGAAUACGUUCCCGGGCCUU
rnacentral:rRNA from 1 species